ACCAAUUUUUGUACAAUCACUGAAGUUAAGCAAUGUUGAGCCUAGUCAGUACCUAGAUGGGUGACCACUUGGGAAUACCAUAUGCUGUAAG